UACGUAGGGUCCGAGCGUUGUCCGGAAUUAUUGGGCGUAAAGGGCUCGUAGGCGGUCUGUCGCGUCGGGAGUGAAAACUUACAGCUUAACUGUGAGCGUGCUUUCGAUACGGGCAGACUUGAGGCAUUCAGGGGAGAACGGAAUUCCUGGUGUAGCGGUGAAAUGCGCAGAUAUCAGGAGGAACACCGGUGGCGAAGGCGGCUACCUGGCCCAACAUUGACGCUGAGACCCGAAAGCGUGGGGAUCAAACAGGA
rnacentral:rRNA from 1 species